GCCGAAGUGGCGGAACUGGCAGACGCGCUGGACUCAAAAUCCAGUGCCCUCCGGGGCGUGUGGGUUCGAUUCCCACCUUCGGCA
rnacentral:tRNA from 1 species